GGAAGUGGUGAAGACGCACCUGCGGGACAUGAUCAUCCUGCCCAAGAUGGUGGGCAGCAUGGUGGGCGUCUACAACGGCAAGACCUUCAACCAGGUGGAGAUCAAGCCGGAGAUGAUCAGUCACUACCUGGGCGAGUUCUCCAUCACCUAUAAGCUGGUGAAGCACUGCCGGCCCGGCAUCGGGGCCACCCACUCCUCCCGCUUCAUCCCCCUCAAGUAGUGGCUCAGCUAAUAAAGGCACACAUAUUUCCAAAAAAAAAAAAAAAAAGGAAGUUAAAUGGAUGGUUUUGCCGGGGACUCACUGCAAACACCUACAACAUUCCAAGGAACCAGACCCUUCAGUAGUGCUGGAUAGGUGAUGGUAAUGCCAACCUACACGUGUUGGAGUUUUCAACAAUGCUGUGCCAUAAGCUCAUGAGAAGUUAUAGUCUGACAAUGAUGAUAGACUUGAAUUCUGGAAUCUUGGGCAGUCUGUUCCAGAAAUGAUACACACUGGUACUUUCAUUUCAAAGUAUGAAGAAAGAUAAACCACAUACAGGAACAGCACAAGAUUCCUAACAGGUUCUGUUGAACUUAAAUUGCUUUAAAGAUUUUUUUGCAUUAUCUGAAGAGAAUCACCAGGUUUUGGUUUUGAGAACUCUGAAGGCAAGAAGCAGGAGGAUCCAGACCGGAAAGCAUUGAACCAGCCCUCUCACUCCAUCUUCCUACACAUAAAACAGAACAAAAUAAACUAUUGUCAUAACUCCACACAAUUAUAUUAAGAGACUAAAAA
ensembl:lncRNA novel transcript